rnacentral:rRNA from 1 species
UACGAAGGGGGCUAGCGUUGCUCGGAAUCACUGGGCGUAAAGCGCACGUAGGCGGAUUGCUAAGUCAGGGGUGAAAUCCUGGAGCUCAACUCCAGAACUGCCUUUGAUACUGGCGGUCUCGAGUCCGGGAGAGGUGAGUGGAACUGCGAGUGUAGAGGUGAAAGUUCGUAGAUAUUCGCAAGAACACCAGUGGCGAAGGCGGCUCACUGGCCCGGUACUGACGCUGAGGUGCGAAAGCGUGGGGAGCAACAGGG